rnacentral:tRNA from 1 species
CCCUUGAUAGCUCAGUUGGCAGAGCGAUGGACUGUAAUUGCUACAAUUCCAGAUUUCAGGAAUAUCCACAGGUCGCCGGUUCAAAUCCGGCUCGAGGGA